AGGGGUGAGGCUUAAAGGCAGAGUGCUUGCCUAGCAUGCAAAAGGUCCUGGGUUGGAUCCCAGCACCACAC
rnacentral:tRNA from 1 species